rnacentral:rRNA from 1 species
CCUACGGGUGGCUGCAGUGGGGAAUAUUGGACAAUGGGCGAAAGCCUGAUCCAGCCAUGCCGCGUGUGUGAAGAAGGCCUUCGGGUUGUAAAGCACUUUCAGUGGGGAAGAAAGCCUUGGGGCUAAUACCCUCGAGGAAGGACAUCACCCACAGAAGAAGCACCGGCUAACUCCGUGCCAGCAGUCGCGGUAAUACGGAGGGUGCGAGCGUUAAUCGGAAUUACUGGGCGUAAAGCGCGCGUAGGCGGUCUGAUAAGCCGGUUGUGAAAGCCCCGGGCUCAACCUGGGAACGGCAUCCGGAACUGUCAGGCUAGAGUGCAGGAGAGGAAGGUAGAAUUCCCGGUGUAGCGGUGAAAUGCGUAGAGAUCGGGAGGAAUACCAGUGGCGAAGGCGGCCUUCUGGACUGACACUGACGCUGAGGUGCGAAAGCGUGGGUAGCAAACAGGAUUAGAUACCCGUGUAGUC